rnacentral:rRNA from 1 species
ACUCCUACGGGAGGCAGCAGUAGGGAAUCUUCCACAAUGGGUGCAAACCUGAUGGAGCAAUGCCGCGUGAGUGAAGAAGGUCUUCGGAUCGUAAAGCUCUGUUGUUAGAGAAGAACACGUGCUAGGUAACUACUAGCGCCUUGACGGUAUCUAACCAGAAAGUCACGGCUAACUACGUGCCAGCAGCCGCGGUAAUACGUAGGUGACAAGCGUUGUCCGGAUUUAUUGGGCGUAAAGGGAGCGCAGGCGGUCUGUUUAGUCUAAUGUGAAAGCCCACGGCUUAACCGUGGAACGGCAUUGGAAACUGACAGACUUGAAUGUAGAAGAGGAAAAUGGAAUUCCAAGUGUAGCGGUGGAAUGCGUAGAUAUUUGGAGGAACACCAGUGGCGAAGGCGAUUUUCUGGUCUAACAUUGACGCUGAGGCUCGAAAGCGUGGGGAGCGAACAGGAUUAGAAACCCCAGUAGUCC